rnacentral:rRNA from 1 species
AGUGAACGCUGGCGGUAGGCCUAACACAUGCAAGUCGAACGGCAGCACAGUAAGGGCUUGCUCUUACGGGUGGCGAGUGGCGGACGAGUGAGGAAUACAUCGGAAUCUACUUUUUCGUGGGGGAUAACGUAGGGAAACUUACGCUAAUACCGCAUACGACCUACGGGUGAAAGCAGGGGAUCUUCGGACCUUGCGCGAUUGAAUGAGCCGAUGUCGGAUUAGCUAGUUGGCGGGGUAAAGGCCCACCAAGGCGACGAUCCGUAGCUGGUCUGAGAGGAUGAUCAGCCACACUGGAACUGAGACACGGUCCAGACUCCUACGGGAGGCUGCAGUGGGGAAUAUUGGACAAUGGGCGCAAGCCUGAUCCGGCCAUACCGCGUGGGUGAAGAAGGCCUUCGGGUUGUAAAGCCCUUUUGUUGGGAAAGAAAAGCAGCAGGUUAAUACCCCGCUGUUCUGACGGUACCCAAAGAAUAAGCACCGGCUAACUUCGUG